AUGAUCCAAACUGUUAGGAGAAAGGAGUGUUGGGUGAGAAGGGAAUGGAGGGAAAAGGGCGCUCCUUGCAGCACCCUGCAAGGUUUUGGGGGCAGCUCCGCGGAGACGAUGGGCAUGGGGGAUUCAUCCUGGCUGCACCCCUCUCACUGCAAUUAUUGUCUUCUCCAUGGCCCAGGCAAUUACCCCACUGUGGACAUCAGGGAUGUGGACAGCGGAGGCGAUGCUGUGGAGAGCAACGGUACCCACUUACCAGUGCCCACCGCCAGCAGUCCCAAAAUGCUGGCAGUGCCUGGCACGGUGCUGGCAUCCCCCAGGUACGGCUCUGCCCUGGCCCUGCCCGAGCGCAUCGGCUCAGCCACGAGCCUGAGCAGUGCCGUCAUCAACAACCGGCUCCAGGAGCUGGUGAAGCUCUUCAAAGAGAGGACCGAGAAGGUGAAGGAGAAGCUGACCGACCCUGAUGUCACCUCGGACGACGAGAGCCCUACAGCAUCCCCUGCUAAGCCGGCACCCGCGGCAGCACCUGUGCCUCCCCCAGGAGGGGAGCCGGAGGGGGACAAGCUGGCAGGGGACGAGCACUACUGUGAGAUGCUGUGCUGUGUGUUCAAGCACCGGCCCUGGAUGGACCGUUUGAAAAACUACCGGUUCCCCAGCAGCAUCGACCCACUCACCAACCUGAUGUAUGUUCUGUGGCUGUUCUUCGUUGUGAUGGCCUGGAACUGGAACUGCUGGUUGAUCCCCGUCCGCUGGGCUUUUCCGUACCAGACACCAUCAAACAUCCACUGCUGGCUGGCUGUGGACUACCUCUGCGACCUCAUCUAUCUGCUGGACAUCCUUGUCUUUCAGACCCGGUUGCAGUUUGUCCAGGGGGGAGACAUAAUAACUGAUAAAAAGGCCAUGAAAGAGAACUACCUGCGAUCACAGCGCUUUAAGAUGGAUGUGGUGUGCCUCCUGCCCCUGGAUUUCUUCUACUUCAAAGUCGGUGUCAACCCGCUCCUGCGCUUUCCUCGCUGUCUGAAGUACAUGGCCUUCUUCGAGUUCAACAACCGCCUGGAGGCUAUCCUGAGCAAGGCGUACAUCUACAGAGUGAUUCGGACUACUGCCUAUUUACUGUACAGCUUGCAUGUGAACUCCUGCCUCUACUACUGGGCAUCAGCCUAUGAGGGACUGGGCUCUACCACCUGGGUCUACGAUGGGGAAGGAAACAGCUACAUCCGCUGCUACUACUGGGCAGUCAAAACCCUCAUCACCAUUGGGGGCCUGCCGGACCCCAAGACACUGUUUGAGAUCAUCUUCCAGCUGCUGAACUACUUCACGGGCGUCUUUGCUUUCUCCGUCAUGAUAGGGCAGAUGAGAGAUGUGGUUGGCGCGGCUACAGCAGGGCAAACUUACUAUCGGAGCUGCAUGGACAGUACCAUUAAAUACAUGAACUUCUACAAAAUUCCCAAAACUGUUCAGAACCGGGUGAAAACGUGGUAUGAGUACACGUGGCAUUCGCAAGGCAUGCUAGAUGAGUCAGAGUUGCUGGUGCAGCUGCCGGACAAGAUGAGGCUGGACAUUGCCAUCGACGUGAACUACAACAUCGUGAGCAAAGUGGCCCUCUUCCAGGGCUGCGACAGGCAGAUGAUCUUCGACAUGUUGAAGCGGCUCAGAUCAGUAGUCUACCUGCCUAAUGACUACGUGUGUAAGAAGGGAGAAAUCGGCCGUGAAAUGUACAUUAUCCAAGCGGGACAAGUGCAGGUGCUGGGAGGACCCGACGGCAAAACUGUGCUAGUGACUCUGAAAGCCGGAUCCGUGUUUGGAGAAAUAAGCUUGCUGGCGGCAGGAGGGGGGAAUCGCCGAACAGCAAACGUCGUAGCUCACGGCUUCGCUAACCUCUUCAUUUUGGAUAAGAAGGACUUGAAUGAGAUUUUGGUGCAUUAUCCAGAGUCUCAGAAGCUGCUGCGUAAGAAGGCCAAGAAAAUGCUGAAAAACAACAAUAAACCCAAAGAUGAAAAAGGAGCCCCUGGAGACUCCCUGAUCAUCCCUCCGAAAGCUGACACCCCAAAGCUCUUCCAGGCUGCCCUGGCCGCCACGGGGAGGAUGGGGGGCAAGGGGCCACUGGCCCAACUCCGGUGGAGGCUGAAGGAGCUGAAGGCGAUGCAGGCAAUGCAGGUCAGUCUCCUAAGCUUGAUUUUGCCUUUUUUGUUUUUUGGAUUGCAGGAUUCCACUUUCAGUCCAAUCCCACCGAAAUCACCAGUGCACCGGAGAUCACCUGUCACCUCCCACAAAGCAAGCACCCAUCUGGGAGAAGAAAUAUUCUCAAAAUCUUCUGAUAGUUUAGUCACCAUUCGUGUGAUUCCCACGGCACAAGAGGAUGAAGAAAUCCUUGCUGCUGAGAUUUCAGAGAAAGAAGACGAAAAAGAAGAGAAAUGA
ensembl:lncRNA